rnacentral:rRNA from 1 species
AUUGAACGCUGGCGGCAUGCCUUACACAUGCAAGUCGAACGGUAACAGGGAGCUUGCUCCGCUGACGAGUGGCGAACGGGUGAGUAAUGCAUCGGAACGUACCCAGUAGUGGGGGAUAACGCAGCGAAAGCUGUGCUAAUACCGCAUAAGCACUGGUGUGGAAAGCAGGGGACCUUCGGGCCUUGUCCUAUUGGAGCGGGCGAUGUAGGAUUAGCGAGUUGGUGGGGUAAAAGCUCACCAAGGCGACGAUCUGUUGCUGGUCUGAGAGGAUGAUCAGCCACACUGGGACUGAGACACGGCCCAGACUCCUACGGGAGGCAGCAGUGGGGAAUUUUGGACAAUGGGGGCAACCCUGAUCCAGCCAUGCCGCGUGAGUGAAGAAGGCCUUCGGGUUGUAAAGCUCUUUCGGCCGGGAAGAAAUCGCCAUCUCUAACAUAGGUGGUGGAUGACGGUACCGGAAUAAGAAGCACCGGCUAACUACGUGCCAGCCGCCGCCGUAA